rnacentral:tRNA from 1 species
UCCCAGAUGACUGAGUAUAAGUGUUAGACUUUUAAUCUAAGCACGGCAUCAAUCUAAAUAAAUUGCCUCUGGGAG